GGCGGAUUUCCCAAGCGGUCAAAGGGAGCGGACUGUAAAUCCGCCGGCUUCGCCUUCAGUGGUUCGAAUCCACUAUCCGCCA
rnacentral:tRNA from 5 species